rnacentral:rRNA from 1 species
GUGAGGAAUAUUGGUCAAUGGGCGAGAGCCUGAACCAGCCAAGUCGCGUGAAGGAUGAAGGUUUUAUGAAUUGUAAACUUCUUUUGCAGGGGAAUAAAGUACGGUACGUGUACCGUUUUGUAUGUACUCUGCGAAUAAGGAUCGGCUAACUCCGUGCCAGCAGCCGCGGUAAUACGGAGGAUCCAAGCGUUAUCCGGAUUUAUUGGGUUUAAAGGGUGCGCAGGGGGGUUGAUAAGUCAGCGGUGAAAGUUUGCAGCUUAACUGUAAAAUUGCCGUUGAAACUGUCGAUCUUGAGUGCAAAUGAGGUAAGCGGAAUGUGUUGUGUAGCGGUGAAAUGCUUAGAUAUAACACAGAACACCGAUUGCGAAGGCAGCUUACUGGGAUGCAACUGACGCUCAUGCACGAAAGCGUGGGGAUCAAACAGGAUUAGAAACCCUUGUAGUCC